rnacentral:rRNA from 1 species
UCGAGGAUCUUCGGCAAUGGGCGCAAGCCUGACCGAGCGACGCCGCGUGUGCGAUGAAGGCCUUCGGGUUGUAAAGCACUGUCGAGGGGGAGGAAGCUCCGCAAGGGGUUGACCUAUCCCUGGAGGAAGCACGGGCUAAGUUCGUGCCAGCAGCCGCGGUAAGACGAACCGUGCGAACGUUGUUCGGAAUCACUGGGCUUAAAGGGCGCGUAGGCGGUCGAUCAAGUCCGGGGUGAAAUCUUUCGGCUUAACCGGAAAAGUGCCUUGGAUACUGAUCGGCUGGAGGGAGGUAGGGGCAGCUGGAACUUCCAGUGGAGCGGUGAAAUGCGUUGAUAUUGGAAGGAACUCCGGUGGCGAAAGCGAGCUGCUGGACCUCUUCUGACGCUGAGGCGCGAAAGCUAGGGGAGCAAACGGGAUUAGAUACCCCUGUAGUCC